GAAUGAGAUGAUGAUUUAUGGAUUGUUUCCCUACUGGUUUGAUUGCCGCCAUGAUGGCAUCUAAAGUAUUAGCUCUAGCUGAUCAUUC